rnacentral:rRNA from 1 species
AGUGAACGCUGGCGGUAGGCCUAACACAUGCAAGUCGAACGGCAGCACAGUAUGCGCUUGCUCUUACGGGCGGCGAGUGGAGGGCGGGUGAGGAAUACAUCGGAAUCUACUUUAUCGUGGGGGAUAACGUAGGGCAACUUAAGCUAAUACCGCAUACGACCUACGGGUGAAUGCCGGGGAUCUUCGGACCUUGCGCGCUCGAAUGAGCCGAGGUCGGAUUAGCUAGUUGGCGGGGUAAAGGCCCACCAAGGCUUCGAUCCGUAGCUGGUCUGAGAGGGUGGUCAGCUACACGGGAACAGAGACACGGUCCUGAGACCUGCGGGAGGCAGCAGUGGGGAAUAUUAGACGAUGGAGGCGAGCCGGAUCCAGCCAUACCGGGUGAAGGAUGAUGGCCUUCGGGUGGUUAAACGCUGUUGUUGUGAGAGAAAUACAGCGGGUUAAUACGCCGCGAUUCUGACAGUACCCAAUGAAUAAGCACCGGCUAACUACGUG